GACGAACGCUGGCGGCGUGCUUAACACAUGCAAGUCGAACGGAAAGGCCCUGCUUUUGUGGGGUGCUCGAGUGGCGAACGGGUGAGUAACACGUGAGUAACCUGCCCUUGGCUUUGGGAUAACUUCAGGAAACUGGGGCUAAUACCGGAUAGGAGCUCCUGCUGCAUGGUGGGGGUUGGAAAGUUUCGGCGGUUGGGGAUGGACUCGCGGCUUAUCAGCUUGUUGGUGGGGUAGUGGCUUACCAAGGCUUUGACGGGUAGCCGGCCUGAGAGGGUGACCGGCCACAUUGGGACUGAGAUACGGCCCAGACUCCUACGGGAGGCAGCAGUGGGGAAUAUUGCACAAUGGGCGGAAGCCUGAUGCAGCAACGCCGCGUGCGGGAUGACGGCCUUCGGGUUGUAAACCGCUUUCGCCUGUGACGAAGCGUGAGUGACGGUGAUGGGUAAAGAAGCACCGGCUAACUACGUGC
rnacentral:rRNA from 1 species